rnacentral:rRNA from 1 species
CGAACGCUGGCGGCAGGCUUAACACAUGCAAGUCGAACGCACCUUUCGGGGUGAGUGGCAGACGGGUGAGUAACGCGUGGGAACGUGCCCUUCAGUUCGGAAUAACCCAGGGAAACUUGGGCUAAUACCGGAUACGUGCGAGAGCAGAAAGAUUUAUCGCUGAAGGAUCGGCCCGCGUCUGAUUAGCUAGUUGGUGAGGUAAUGGCUCACCAAGGCGACGAUCAGUAGCUGGUCUGAGAGGAUGAUCAGCCACAUUGGGACUGAGACACGGCCCAAACUCCUACGGGAGGCAGCAGUGGGGAAUAUUGGACAAUGGGCGCAAGCCUGAUCCAGCCAUGCCGCGUGAGUGAUGAAGGCCUUAGGGUUGUAAAGCUCUUUCGUCCGGGACGAUAAUGACGGUACCGGAAGAAGAAGCCCCGGCUAACUUCGUGCCAGCAGCCGCGGUAAUACGAAGGGGGCUAGCGUUGUUCGGAAUCACUGGGCGUAAAGGGCGCGUAGGCGGCUUUAUAAGUCGGGGGUGAAAGCCUGUGGCUCAACCACAGAAUUGCCUUCGAUACUGUAUGGCUUGAGACCGGAAGAGGUUAGUGGAACUGCGAGUGUAGAGGUGAAAUUCGUAGAUAUUCGCAAGAACACCAGUGGCGAAGGCGGCUGACUGGUCCGGUUCUGACGCUGAGGC